AAAUCAGGUAUGAAGAGUCCUGCUUCUUUAAUCAAUCUGUUAGUUUGAUUUAUUCUUGUAAGAUUAGGGUUUUUCACGAUUCCUCUGUAAUUGAAAUUAUGUUAGAAUAGUUGCUUGGUUUGGAUGUCGUAACAGUUUUACUAUGAAAAUCGAACAUCCAAAUUUAGCUUCUUUUAGCCCCAUCAAAUUCUGAUACUUCAUGAAACCUAGGGAAUGCAAUACGGUAACCACACAAUUGAAGCUUUUUUUGCGUUUUUAUGCUUAUGUUGGCCCAGGUGAUUGAGUAUUGUAGCAAUUGGAAACACUUAUAUUACAAAUAGAAGGAAAUUUAGAACAGCCGAAUCAGUUUGUUCGAGAAUAUUAGAACCAUUUUUAUUUAUAUGAAUCAUAUGAUAACCCUUCACACGUCUUAAUAGUAUUUGAUGAAAUUCCUAUGUAGGUUGAGUUUAUUUUGGUCUUAUGAAUCUGAGAGUGUUCAUUUACAUGCUUGUUUGUAAUUUAUGAACUUGAAUCUUUGUCCAUCUAAAUUCUGUUUACUUGUUAUCAAUUACAGUGACAUGCACUAUACAUUAAUCUCUCCAUAAGAACCUCCUCAUUUUGUUAUUAACUCAUUAUACAUUCGGUUUGGGACUACUGUCAUACUCUGCUCUGAGAAAGAAUCGAAAUAUUGAUAUCUACAAAUAACUACCGCAGAAUAUGAUAUAGGAGUGCCUCGCGGGAUUUAUAUUCUGAUUGUGAAACGAUUGAAAGGUUUGGGAGCCAUUCAUGAAUCUUUUUAUCUAGAAUAUGUAAUUGCUUCUAAUACUUUUGUUGAAGAAUAAGUUUGAAGGAGUAAAAUCAGUAAGUAGAUUGGCAAUAGAUGAGUUAUAGGAAGUGGCAGGGUCUGCACUCUGUAACUUGCAUUCCCGGAAAAUGGCCGGUCCAAACGAGAGGCCUAUCAUCAUUUUAUGUCUGUUCUACGAGAUAUCUUGAGAUAAGGAAUCUUAGUAUAGAGCAACAUGACAAUGUCUUAUGUUUGAAAAAUAACAACGAAUGUUGCAUAGAAUCUUUAUCUAUGCACAGGCAAAAUAUCUAUUCCUUUUGCUUUGUUAUCAAUUUCUAGUCUUGUUACAUAAGACUAUUUAAUCUUCAACCUAGCUUAUGGUAAUAUAUCUAGAUUCUGUAGUUAUUGAUGAAGAUCUCUGCUCGUCAAAUACCUAAAACUGCCAACCAUUUGGAACAACUUCGUCACACUAUAGAACAUGUCGGAUUUAUGUAUGUAUGGGAACAUUUUCUGAUUUCAAUUUAGUCCUGUCAUUGUUUUGAUGAAAUUUAGUGUGAUAGUUAAUUGCUCGUCACCUUGACAAUAUGAAAGUUUCGAUUUUUCAUUCAUGAGACCAGUCUCUUAUUAUUGUAUGCCUAGGAUGCUGUGCAUGGUAGAUGUGUAUGUGCAGAAGGCAGUGUAUUCAAAAGCUACUGAUUUAAGCUCUUGAGUACACAAUUUACUAGUUACCCUCAUGGAAGUAUGGAACAUUAUUUUUUAAUGGCUUUUACAUCAGUUGGAGGCAAUAAUGUAUAAUAGGAGGGGGUGGUCGCAGCAGCUGACCCUCCAAGUUCGUUGAAAUUGAAUGUUUUUUACAAAAUGGUAAUUUAAGACAAUAUCUUCGAGAAAUAUGAUUUUGCCUUGUGCAAUAUAUGUAUAAUAUCUAUAAUUUAUUAGGCGUCACCGAUGUGUAUAUCAUCUACUGGAUAUUGGAUCUUUGUAAAAGCAGUAGAAAUUUGUUGAUCUACAAGAUAAAUGAGAGAAGAAGAAAGUAGAUGAGUAGGGAGACCAUUAUUUUAUAUUUUACUUACUAUUGUAAUUUUCUAAAAUUGUAAUAAAUGUAAUACUCUUACUUAUUUCCUAAUAAUUUGAUGUAUAUAAAUAUAGCUUCUACAUGGGUGGUCACUGAGUUAGGAAUAAGGAACCAAUGUCAUGGUCGGACGAGAAUGAACACACUUUCAUCGAAAUUCUUUAUGAGAAAGUGAAAUCAAAUGUAUUGCAAUGUUCGACAUUCACGAAAGACGAAUGGGGCAGGAUCAACGAAAACAUGAUAGCUUCAACAAAAAUGGAUUACGGGAUAGAUAGAUUAAAGGGAAAGUGGAACCGCUUACGUAAGAUUCAUCACAUGUUCUCUGAACUUUUGGGACAUACAGGGGUUACAUGGGAUCCAAAUACCAACAAAGUUAAUGCUGCAGAGGAAGUUUGGCAACACUUUUAUACGGUACAUGUAUUUAUUAAAGAAUAUUUUCGUCAUUAGUUUUUUCUUAUCAAAUUUAUUUUUUUAUGUUCAACACUUUGACAAUGUAACUUCUUUUCCAAUGGCAGAUUAAUAGGUCGGAUUACAAGAUGUUCAAGAGGGAAGGAUGUAAGCACUACCACACUCUUGGGGAGAUAUUUAGUGGGACUACAGCUACUGGAGGAUUAUGCGAAGCCUCCACUCAGCUUCCAAACAUAUCAGAGGAAGAAAGGCAACUAGAAGAUGAUUUUUUGAAUAGGGGAGUGCAUGUACAUGCAGAGAAUGAUGAUGAAGUCGAUGUGGUUUCUGAUACUCGUCGACGUAACGAAAUUGGUACAUCAGGUGAACGACGACGUAAGGAACCUAAGAUCAGUAAAAGUGAUAAACUUGAGGCAUGCAUGGCACAAUGGUCAUCUACAGUUAGUAUGAGGAAUGAAGAAACUGAACUUAGAACACUUUAUCUAAAAAAAAGCUUGCAAAGAUUCAAGGAAAAUCAAGUAAUCAGUCGGAUGUUGAAGUUAACAGUCCGGAUCCUUAUUCAAAUGUUAUUUGCAUGGACAUCUUAAACGAUAUUGAAGGGUUGUCUAAUGAGGUUUAUAUGAAAGCAAUACAGGCUUUUAAUGAUCCUAAUUUCAGGGUGUCAUUUGUGAAGAUGCCAGAAGCAAGGAGAUGACCUAUCUUGGAACUACUUUGAUGUGACUGUUGUUUUAAUUUUUCUAGUAACGUGUUGUAAUUUGUGAUGUUGAAUGUUGAAAUACUACGUUAAAGUGUGACUAUUGUUGUUCUAAUUUGUGAUGUUGAAUGUUCUAAUUUGUGAUGUUGAAUGUUGAAAUACUACGUUAACGUGUUGUUUUAAUUUGUGAUGUUGAAUGUGUGACUAUUGUUGAAAUACUACAUUAAUGACUAUGGUUAUAUUUUGUUCACAGUAUGGCCAGUGAAUCAAGUGAUGAUGAUUUGUUA
rnacentral:lncRNA from 1 species